UACGUAGGUGGCAAGCGUUGUCCGGAUUUACUGGGCGUAAAGAGCGCGCAGGCGGUCGUGCAAGUCGCGUGUCAAAGCCCCCGGCUCAACUGGGGAGGGUCACGCGAUACUGCUCGACUCGAAGGCAGGAGAGGGAAGUGGAAUUCCCGGUGUAGUGGUGAAAUGCGUAGAUAUCGGGAGGAACACCAGUGGCGAAGGCGACUUCCUGGCCUGUUCUUGACGCUGAGGCGCGGAAGCUAGGGUAGCAAACGGG
rnacentral:rRNA from 1 species